GUCUCUUCGGGGACAUUCAAUAAAAUUGGAACGAUACAGAGAAGAUUAGCAUGACUCUUGCACAAGGAUGUCACAUAUAAAUCGAGAAAUAAACCAGAAUUUG